GAUGAACGCUGGCGGCGUGCUUAACACAUGCAAGUCGAACGAUGAAGCCCAGCUUGCUGGGUGGAUUAGUGGCGAACGGGUGAGUAACACGUGAGUAACCUGCCCUUAACUCUGGGAUAAGCCUGGGAAACUGGGUCUAAUACCGGAUAGGAGCGCCUACCGCAUGGUGGGUGUUGGAAAGAUUUAUCGGUUUUGGAUGGACUCGCGGCCUAUCAGCUUGUUGGUGAGGUAAUGGCUCACCAAGGCGACGACGGGUAGCCGGCCUGAGAGGGUGACCGGCCACACUGGGACUGAGACACGGCCCAGACUCCUACGGGAGGCAGCAGUGGGGAAUAUUGCACAAUGGGCGAAAGCCUGAUGCAGCGACGCCGCGUGAGGGAUGACGGCCUUCGGGUUGUAAACCUCUUUCAGUAGGGAAGAAGCGAAAGUGGCGGUACCUGCAGAAGAAGCACCGGCUAACUACGUG
rnacentral:rRNA from 1 species